rnacentral:tRNA from 1 species
AGCGGAUUAGAGCAGCGGUAGCUCACCAGAAUCAUAAUCUGGGGGUCAUAGGUUCGAUUCCUAUAUCCGCCA